AGCGAACGCUGGCGGCAGGCCUAACACAUGCAAGUCGAGCGGACCCUUCGGGGUUAGUGGCGGACGGGUGAGUAACACGUGGAAACGUGCCUUUAGGUUCGGAAUAGCUCCUGGAAACGGGUGGUAAUGCCGAAUGUGCCCUUCGGGGGAAAGAUUUAUCGCCUUUAGAGCGGCCCGCGUCUGAUUAGCUAGUUGGUGAGGUAAUGGCUAACCAAGGCGACGAUCAGUAGCUGGUCUGAGAGGAUGACCAGCCACAUUGGGACUGAGACACGGCCCAAACUCCUACGGGAGGCAGCAGUGGGGAAUCUUGCGCAAUGGGCGAAAGCCUGACGCAGCCAUGCCGCGUGGAUGAUGAAGGUCUUAGGAUUGUAAAAUCCUUUCACCGGUGAAGAUAAUGACUGUAGCCGGAGAAGAAGCCCCGGCUAACUUCGUGCCAGCCGCCGCGGUAA
rnacentral:rRNA from 1 species